rnacentral:antisense_RNA from 1 species
GCGUCGGCGCCGCAGGGUCUGGGUGCGGAGCGAUCUGGUGUGGCAGAUGUGGACAGCUGGACCCUCCUGGGUGCCUCUGCAUGAUGUCGUUUGGUUGAUGCGUUUGGAGAGAAUCUGUGCUCUCCAGACCUGCAGGGGCAACCUGCUUUCCUGGCCUCUUAAGAUGAGGGUGGCUGUUCUUGGGUGCUGCACCAAAACUCCAGCAGUGGGCUUUCUUCAAGUGGCAGGCUCACCUCAUUCCUGCCAAGACCCAGGUCCGUGUUCUCACAGUGCUGCCAUCUUUCCUCCGUGUGAGCGUGUGCUGUGCAGAGAGUGGACCUCUGCGUGUGCGGGGCUGCGUGCACUGCCAUCGGCUCCCUCCACACGAGCCGCCGUGGACCCAGGGCUGAGCUGUGACCACGAGGGCCAUCCCGACGAGCCACCGUGGACCCAGGGCUGAGCUGUGACCACGAGGUCCAUCCCGG